UAGGGAAUCUUCCACAAUGGACGCAAGUCUGAUGGAGCAACGCCGCGUGAGUGAAGAAGGUUUUCGGAUCGUAAAGCUCUGUUGUUGGUGAAGAAGGAUAGAGGCAGUAACUGGUCUUUAUUUGACGGUAAUCAACCAGAAAGUCACGGCUAACUACGUGCCGCAGCCGCGGUAAUACGUAGGUGGCAAGCGUUGUCCGGAUUUAUUGGGCGUAAAGCGAGCGCAGGCGGAAUGAUAAGUCUGAUGUGAAAGCCCACGGCUCAACCGUGGAACUGCAUCGGAAACUGUCAUUCUUGAGUGCAGAAGAGGAGAGUAGAAUUCCAUGUGUAGCGGUGGAGUGCGUAGAUAUAUGGAAGAACACCAGUGGCGGAGGCGGCUCUCUGGUCUGCAACUGACGCUGAGGCUCGAAAGCAUGGGUAGCGAACAGG
rnacentral:rRNA from 1 species